CUGAGCCAUGAAGUGCGUCUGGAUUCAGAGGCUGGCCGGGAUCAUCAUUCCGCCUGUCUGGAACUGAAGACCGUAAGGCUGAACAGUGUGAGAACAUUGUAUUCUUGUCAGGAAAGACAAUCAUUUGGAAAAAAGGACAGAAACCAGGUUUCUGAGUUAGCAAGACCUGGCUGAACCAGGGAGGAACCAAUCCCGGGGCUCCUCGCCCACCGCCUGUCCCUGCAGGGCAGCUGGGCUGCUCGGAGACCACCUUGUGUGCUGUGUCCAGUGCUGCUCGUCAUCAAAGCCUGGAGGAAGGAAAGAGGACGAAGGAAGGAAGAAAGAAAGGAGAUGCAACGCUGCAAUGGCCACUUUGGAAGGUACCGCCAGUAAAGCAGAAGUCUUAGCUGGUGGGCGGGCUCUGGCUGGAACGUCUUAGGGCUCCACCCCUAGGGCAACACGUCCUGCUUUGGGAAACAGCAGCUCCACACUGAGCAUGAACGAAAUUACUCCGGUGCCCAAGGUUGCCCUGGUGCAGAAUGGCCAAGAAGGGCCCCGCCCACAAACCAAGAACCCUCUGGGUUGUUCUCAACAGCGAC
rnacentral:lncRNA from 1 species